UAGGAAGGAUCACUCCAUAUAAAUCCUCUCAGCUUAGUCUCUCUGUCAGUUUGGUGUAGCCAGUGCUCUAGAGUCAGCUUAAAAUCCAGUCAUAGCAUUAGGAGGUGGUAGAUAAGCACUAUGCUGAACUAUUCAGAACUUGGAGGCAUCAGAACAGAAAUGCCAGCAGAUUCUGUAUGAUCUAAACAGGGAGAUGAGAGAGCUUGUGCAGAAGGGAGACUUUGCAAAGCCUGGAGGAUAUAAACUCUACAGCACAUACAGAAACAACAUUAUCAUCCAUUACCACAGCCAGCCAAACAAGGGAAUCCAGGCUGAGGAGGUGUUGCAGAGGUUUUUGAAUGAGAAAAGUGUGGAGGCAAAAUUAAUUCUUCAAACUGAUGAACAACUGACCGAAUUUGGCAAGAAGAUUCAAGAGAACAAGUGGCUCUGUUAGAGCAGCAAUGUAAAAUAGAACAAGAGAAAAAGAUGGAGACGGAGCGGCUGAUGCAGGAGGAAAAAGAAAGCCAUCAGCAGCGACUACAGCAGCUGGAGAAGAAAUAUGAGGAGGAGAAGCAUCAGCAACAGCAGGAGCUGGACCAAGCACUAGAGAGCAAAGUGACCGAACAUAAAAAGCUCAUACAGAAAGGGUUUGAUGAGAAUGCCCAGCUGAUGAGCCUGGAGAUUGAGCAACUUAAAAAAGAAAAAGAUAACCUGUCUCACAGUUUUUUUAAGGAUUAUGUUGUUCCUGGUAUGGGUGUUGCUAAAGAAUCGUUGGGUUUUUAUCUCAAGUAUAGAGCAAUGAAGCAAGGAUUGCCUAUUAUGUAAGAAAGUCAAGACUGUCAUUCUGUAAAACACACUUCUGUAAAAAACACUAACUAAAAUUAAGUAACAAUUACAUACUGUAAUAUAUUGGAAAAUGAUGUUGCGCAGUAUAUUUACUAAUAUAGACCUUUAUACAUACAUUUGCACUUGUAUAUUUUAAGUAUAUUGAUAUAUUAAAGGUUCAAGGGAGAUUUAUUGUCAUUCCAGAACCUGUGGUACAUGAAAU